rnacentral:rRNA from 1 species
CAGCAGUGGGGAAUAUUGCACAAUGGGCGCAAGCCUGAUGCAGCCAUGCCGCGUGUAUGAAGAAGGCCUUCGGGUUGUAAAGUACUUUCAGCGAGGAGGAAGGCAUUGUGGUUAAUAACCAUAGUGAUUGACGUUACUCGCAGAAGAAGCACCGGCUAACUCCGUGCCAGCAGCCGCGGUAAUACGGAGGGUGCAAGCGUUAAUCGGAAUUACUGGGCGUAAAGCGCACGCAGGCGGUUGAUUAAGUCAGAUGUGAAAUCCCCGAGCUUAACUUGGGAACUGCAUUUGAAACUGGUCAGCUAGAGUCUUGUAGAGGGGGGUAGAAUUCCAGGUGUAGCGGUGAAAUGCGUAGAGAUCUGGAGGAAUACCGGUGGCGAAGGCGGCCCCCUGGACAAAGACUGACGCUCAGGUGCGAAAGCGUGGGGAGCAAACAGGAUUAGA